UUUUUUUUUUUUUAAACAGAUGCACUGAGGAGAUCUGCAGAAUACUCAUUAUAAUGAUUACUGUGAUAAACUCACAGGGUGGUCUGAAUUGCAGACCCCAUAAAUCCCCAUAUUAUCAUCACAAACUCGGGUCAUCUUCGUAGUGUAUACUGAGAGGUCGUGCAAGCUUCUGUUCACAAGCUUUAGGUGAUUUUUAUGUGUUUAUUUUCAUCAACACAAACACAUGGUGGCCUGCUUGCACAAAACAAAACAAAAGAGCAGCUACCAGACGUGGGUUUGACCUCAUGCACUGGACACUUUUAACCGCCAGAGCUGAUAUAAUUAAUCAGGUUUAAAGUGUUGAGUGGACAAUCUUCUCCUCUUGUUGCGGUUUAACUUGUUAGCAGCUUUGCGAAAGGUGAACAACGGUGAUGUAAACAUCCAAAAGGUGUCAUCCGGCGGUCACUAGUCUCCUAUAAGGACUUGUAGUAUAACUUGGGUGUAUAUAUAGUGUGGCAGAGAUAAAUAGCUGGCUAUAGAUGUUUUAUUUUAUUCCAACAUAACAAAAAAGACGAGUGCAUGCAUGGGCAUAACAAGGUUUCACUGACUGAUCUUACAGCUUCCUGCGAUGUUAGCUUAAAGCUACCUGGCACCAAAGGCAUCGAAACGGAAAUACAGGAGCCGUUUAAACGGUUAAAAAGCGAGGCACACGACGGGGAUGUGGCUGUUUGUCUUUCUGACACACUCGGGGACACAUUUCCAUUUAUUAAUGUUUUCUAAUCCAUCUAAGCGCACAUGAAACAAGAUGAAAGGAGGUGGAAGGGGAGGAGGGGGGGAGAAAGCUAACGUUGGGUAGGCUAACGCUAACGCUGCCAAUAUGGCUGCCUGGUACCCCUUUAAAUCAAAUUGUCUGCCGUGAUUAUACCUCCAUCACUGACGGUUUGUGGGGGGGAAAAAAAUGUGCCCGAAAACAAGCUGGCUACGACUGAAAACGAGGAGAUGCAGCAUGCAGAGGCGGCCAACAGGUCCACGGCACGAUGGAAAUACUGUAUCUACGCUUGCAGCAGGCUCUCCGAUUGGCUUUUAUGCGCCUCCUCGCCUGAUCUGCUUCUCAGGAGGGAGGAGGUGGAAAAAAGAAAGAGCUGUCACUCUGCCUCUUGUUUCUUGUUCCUGCAUGUUGUUCCUGCAAGUGUUAUUAGGAACACUUCUCUUCCUUUCAUAUGUCAAGGAUUUCGUUCAGAUGUUGGGCGCAGCAAGAAAGUGCCAGGUUUAAAUCCAGGGUGGAUGGAUGUUCUCCCCAAAUACAGGGGAGUCCAAACACAUGAAUAACACUUUAUAAUACAGUCCUGUAAUUAAAUGUAAUUUUAAUGUAUUUUAUUUGAAAUUACAAUGUAAUUUAUUAUUGUUAUUAUUUACCUACAAACACUUAAAUAUAGGCAAAAACAAUAUUUUCCCAUCUUACAUUGUAAGUACACACUGUACUUUUUGGAGGGAGGGCUCUAUAUUAUAGAGCAGUUUGACUUUUAUAUGCUUUAUACUGUAAGUAAUUUUAAGUUCAGCGUAAGCGUAACAUCCAUCAUGCAUAAUAAUGAAUAUUAAAUAAUAAUGUAAAAAAAUAAAGAUGUAAAAACACAAGAUUUCAUGUUUAACACAACAGCUGCUACUAAAAUAACUGUUCUUUUUAAUUGAUUUGUGAAUAAGCUGUCAAAUCUGUAAAGGCUUUUGCAAAGACAAUAAGUGUGAAUUGCAGCUUUCUUAUCGUUGAACAUUACCUUGUGUAUUGAUCUGGUCACUGUUUGUCUGCCAGAUUGUGCUCUGUCUCCAGUUUCUACCAUGCAAAUGCUUCCUUAGAAAACUUCAGUCUAUCCAAACUUUUGUGUAUGAGAAAUCUCUGUCACUUGGUUCAAUUAAAAACCAGUGUGCAACUUAA